GUCUGUGGUGAAACAUAGCAUAUUAAUAACCUGUGGAUUAGAAAUUUUAAUUUAACAAAACAAACAAAAAUUUUAUUUUUCAGGUUUUAAAGAGAAUUUAGAAAUUGAGCAAAGUUUUACUAAAUUAUAGUGAUCUUAGGAGCAAAGUUUACUUCGUUUGUGUUAUUGUUAAUCAAAAAUAUAAAAGUAAACAAAAAAGAAAACUACCUCUAUCUAAUUUUGUCGAUGUCCAUUUCUUAAGAAGUUUCUCAUUAAAACAACCCUUAACUCAGGCAAGGCAGGGCUAAGGUGGUUAGCGUAACUACAAGUGGUUAACUUACAGUUAGCCAACUGAAGAACAAUCAACAAUGCCCGAUUAAUAAGUGAUCGCGCUGCUUGUCUACUACAUGUCCCUGCACUAGUUAUAGCAGUAAUUUCUUUGUUUGGAAGUAUUUAGCACAUCCGGGCUGCGCAAAAGGAGAGAUUGCUACACGUCAUCACACCGGAAUGCUAAAUUGCUUGGCCGUAAGUCUCAAUUGGUCCAGCCGGGGAUCAAACACAGGACCUUCGGAACAUUAUUCUUUACAAGUUAGCCCUUGACUACAAUCUCACCUGAUGGUAAGUGAUGAUGUAAUCUAUGAUGGUAAUGGGCUAACUUGUUAGGAGUAGUAAGACAAUCCACACCCCUUUUGGUUUCUACAUGGCAUCGUACCGGAAUGCUAAAUCGUUUAGUGGUAGGUCUUUGCCAGUAAGGUGGUAACUGGCCGAAGCCUCCCACCAGCCAGACCUAGACCAAUUGAGAAAACCUCAAUCGGCCCAGCCAGGGAUCAAACCCAGGACACCACUGCUAAUGUUUUCCUCGCAAAGAUUCUAUCUAACUUUUGGUAAGAAAGAUUAAUUUUUUUUUUUAAUUUCAGACUAAAUUGAUUAUUAUGAACAGACCAUUAUGAUGAACCACUGAUAUUGACUCAGAGACAUGAAGAUGAGUGCUUUGACAACAAGACUGACUAGCUGAGCCAGCUUAAGAAUUAUGUGGUGUGUGUGUGUGUCUAAUUCCAGGAGCUCUCUAUGUCAGCCAUCCAUCUAUAUUCUUACUCAUUUUUGUUAAUUAUAAAAUAAAUUUGAUUAUUUAGUGUGUAACUUCAUUGUACCUAUCCUGCUAGCUGUUAGAAAGAUAGCAUCUGCAAUAAUUUAUUUACGGUAAAACAUAUUUAAAAAUAAACAUGCUUUAACAUUUAAGUAUGGCCAAUAUGUUGUCAAGUACAGUGGGCAGGGCUGAAUCCAUGAUUGAUGACUGAUCCAUGAUGAUGACUCGUUUUUCUGAUUUAAGAAAAUAUACUAAUCAUCAAAACAGUGUCUGCAAGUACUGUACAGGCUGACUGUUUGGAUGAGAAGUAUAUAGUUGAUUAUUUUUAAUCUUUGUGGUUUCAGGGUUUAAAAAAUGUCUAACUGAAAGUCUAUGUUUACUGUAUUUAUUAUUAUUAUAAUAAAUAAACUUAAAAAAUCUUUUUUUUAUAAACUUCCAACCCCUAUUUCACCCUCAGAGGUGUCAUUUUCAUAAUUCUUAGAAUACUAGUAGUCAAGAUACUGUAAUAAAAAGAUACAGUUUGUGAGAUUGUAGGGGUAAACACUGGACCUACUGAACCAAUGUUUAUGUGGGUGAAACUGCAGGGGUGAACAUACACAGGUAUUAUAAAUGUAUUUUUUACAACUACACUUUUUUUAAUAAUUUAUUUAAUUAUUGUAAUGGUAAAAAAAAAUAUUAAUAGUAAAAUGUUAAACUGAAAGCUUUAGUUUUGGAAAAGACUACAAAAAACAAACUCAGCGAAGUAAGUAUUCUUUUAUUUUCAAAUAUCAAAGACCAAAUCAAAUAUCAUCAGCAUUUCACAAUCUAUGCAAAUAUUUUGAUAAUACAGACACAUUUAUGAUUUGACCAGAUAACAGGGUCAUCAGUACAAUGUCCUAUCAGCUAAAAGCCUUUGCCAUCUUUUCUUCAGCACACCAAUAUGUUAUUCUACUGUAUUGCAGGUGCUUUUUGUAAUAUUGGAGUCUGCAGUUAUAGGGCAUAUUCCAAAUAUCCUGUAAAGCAAAAUUGUUAAUAUUGAGCAUAUUAUAAAAUACACACAUCAACAUUUAGUCUCAAUGUAAGUGUAGUUUGUGUACUAAGAUCAGGCCGGGUCAACUCUCGAACAAAGUUUGGUUAUACCUACGGGGGCUAGACCUGUGGUGUCAUCAUCCAUACGGUUUUACCUUCUGGUAGUUGUAGCAAUAUUAUUAUCGUUAGUAGCUCACGCCUGACAUAAUAUUUUGAUAAAUCUAAUACAUUUUUAGAUUUCAAUAUGACUUUAAUAACUGAAUAAAUACUUUUCUUCUACAAAAAUAUAGAGAGACACUCUCGUUGAAUAUUUUUUUAGUAACGCAUGGGUAAGGUUUUCUAAACGAAGUGUGGCAACCCCAAUUACUUAAUAAAAAAUAAAAAUGUUUUAAAAUGAAAAUGGCGUCAUUUCACCAAAUAUUUUAAAACACAAAUUCUCGAAUAAUAAAAUAAAUGUUUGCCACGGCCUGUUAAUAUUUAUGAAGACCUCUUCAUGGAUUGGAUUCAAGCAACCUGCUGUGUAAUAUCCUCGCCAUCCUUGAUGUUGAGAAGAUCUAUAUAUAAGUCUUUUACGUUUCAUCUGAGUGUUGUGGUUUUUCAUUAUGUUAAAAAUAAGACUUUGUUAGUUCAAGUGUCUCUAUAACUAUGAAGAAGAACAAAAGAAAAUGCUUUGAGUGUGGUUUUUCGCCUGCCGAUGAUCCAGAGAAGACCCUACAGAGAUUACCGAAACUUGAUUCUACAAAUUUAGUCUCCGGUAGCUUAAUCUGGAGCAACAUAAGGUUAAUUAUGAAAUGGUAAUGAAAAUAAACAUCUGAGAAAAGCAAAUUCCAUGAACUAAUUUGAAAGUAUCUGUUACCAGAAGUAAAUUUUUUACUAUACCACUGUUCAAUAUUAAACCACAGGUAUAUGUACUAAAGGCAGUAAUGUCCAGAUAAUCAAUGAUUAGACUAUUGGACUUUUAGAAUAAAUUUUACAUUGAACUAUGAAUGGUUUGUCAUCUACAUUUUUAAAAAAGAUGAGAUGUUUUACCUGUAAGAAGAAGAGAGAGAGAGAAUAAGAAGCAAUCCUGCUUCUUCACAUGAAUUUUACCCGCAUGACGACGGUUUUUAAUAUAAAAAAUAUUUACACAAUGUCUCAAAAAGCAAUCAAAGCUUUGAAAAAUAAACAAUGUUCGCAGAAGUUCAGUACCAACAAACUCACAAAAAAUGAGCCCAAAUUUAGCAUUACUUGCAAGCCAGACUAAGAAAUUUCAAAAAGAUAAUUUAAAAGAAGACAAUAGAAUAAAAUAAUAUUAACACACAAUGCUUAGCAAAUAUAGCAUUAACAGAUGGAAACCAGGCAAUAGGUGUAGCAAAAUAGAAGAUGAAGGUCUAGCUGUGCCAGUCAGUGCUGAGCCACACAGUUGCUGCUGGCAUGUUUGCAAAAUAGCACAAGGUGUAGCAAAAUAGAAGAUGAAGGUCUAGCUGUGCCAGUCAGUGCUGAGCCACACAGUUGCUGCUGGCAUGUUUGCAAAAUAGCACAAGGUGUAGCAAAAUAGAAGAUGAAGGUCUAGCUGUGCCAGUCAGUGCUGAGCCACACAGUUGCUGCUGGCAUGUUUGCAAAAUAGCACAAGGUGUAGCAAAAUAAAAGAUGAAGGUCUAGCUGUGCCAGUCAGUGCUGAGCCACACAGUUGCUGCUGGCAUGUUUGCAAAAUAGCACAAGGUGUAGCAAAAUAGAAGAUGAAGGUCUAGCUGUGCCAGUCAGUGCUGAGCCACACAGUUGCUGCUGGCAUGUUUGCAAAAUAGCACAAGGUGUAGCAAAAUAGAAGAUGAAGGUCUAGCUGUGCCAGUCAGUGCUGAGCCACACAGUUGCUGCUGGCAUGUUUGCAAUAUAGCACAAGGUGCUGUAAAAUGAUGAUAUAUUGUUUAAUAUCAUGAGAUAGAAAUAAAAGAUGAAGAUCUAGCUGUACCCGUCCCGAGCCACACUACUGCAGCCACGUUGUUGCUGGCAUUUUUGCAAAAUAGCACAAGGUCACAACAAUUGAUGUAACAAAUAUAAUCAAUGGACCAGGCACCUGCACCAUGAUUCUUUGGAAUACUAAAAUUCGUCUCUUUAUGUUUAUACUUCUCAUAAUGAAAAAUGUCACAUUUUUAUGAAAGAAAUAAUGGAAUCAAAUAAUAAAUAAAACAAGCAUAUGCUGGGAGUCCUCAGAAACAGCUCCGACUUUGAUGAUUUUUUUUUAAAGUCAUGUUUUUUAUGUUAUUUAAAAUCAGAAAUGUUUUGAUGGACGAAAUUAUUUAAAUUGUUAAAAAAUAUCUAUGCUAUUUAUACAUAUUUUUUUUUAAAUACAACCGACUUCAAAAAUACAAACUUAUGCAGAAAACUAACAAACGAAAGAAAAUAUUAUAAUAUUUUCUAUCUAUUGAUCACCUUGAAGGCGGUGCCAAUGGUCCAAUUAAUGGGCCGACAAUUAGUUAUCUAUUGUUUUCCUAGCUAUAGGGUUCGAAUUGCUUUUUCAUAUCUUUAAAAGACUAUCUUCGGAAUGAACCCUUUAUAAUAAAAAAAGUAUUAUCAAAAUCGGACCACUCAAUAAAAAGUUAUACUUGGUUGUAUACUAAAAUUAAUGGUUAAACAAUCAAUCAUCCCCUGUUUUUGUAAUGUAAAACCAAGCAUAACUGUUAACAUGAGUAGUCCGAUUUUGAUAAUUCUUUUGAUUGUUUUAGUUUAAAACCAAGCAUGUCUUCGAAUUCCGAUUUGAAUAACUUUGUUUUAAAUAGAAAGGGUAUAUUCCGACAAUGGUCCCAAAUCAUUAUAAAUUUAAAAAAAAACAAGAGAUGACUGGUUAUUUUCCCAUUAAUUGUAUUGUAAAAAUAUGCGUAACUUAUUACGAAGUGGUCCGAUUUCGUAAAUUCUUUAUAGAUUGUAAAGGUAUUUUGAUUGUAAAGCUCCCAUAUAAAUUUUAAAAAACAAUUCCAAUCCUAAAUGAUUGAUUUGAUUACAAUUUUUAUAUAAAUAUGCGAUUGAUUGUUUUCUCAUUCAUUUUAAUGUAAAACCAAGCCUAACUUUUUAUUGGGUGGUUCGAUUUUGAUUAUUCUUUAUUUUAAUAGAAAGGGUAUAUUCCUAAGUCUCAUAAAAUGUUGGAAAACAAUUUCAAACCUAAUAGUAGGAAAAUAGAAGAUGAUUAAUUGUUUUCCCAUUUAUUGUAAUGUUAAACUAUGUGUAACUUUUUACUGAGUAGACCGAUUUUGAAAAUUCUUUAAUUUUUGUAAAGGGUUUAUUUCGAAGUAGGUCCCAUAUAAAUUUCGGAAAACAAUUCGAAUCCUUAAGGUGGAAAAAAACGGUACGAUUGAUUGCCUACCCAUUAAUUGUACAAUUGGCACCGGCUUCAGUAAUCAGUAGAUAGAAAAUAUUAUAAUGUUUUCUUCAGCUUAUUAGUUUACUGCAUAACUUUGUGUUUUUGGUAGUGUUUGUUUUUUAAUUAUUUUUUAUAUAAAUAGCAUAACUAUUGUUAAAUAGUAUAAAUCGUUCCAUCCUCACUCCAAAAGGUUUUCUGAUUUCAAAUGAUAUGAAGAAACAAACUGAACAAAAAUAAUCAUCAAAAUCAGAGCUGUUUCUGAGGAGGUAGAGGGUAAAUGCUCUAUUGAUUCGCCUAAAAGUAAUAUUAUGUUAUCGCAUUCGGUUGUAAAUUUUGGCUAAUGAAAGUAGAGACUGAAAUUGCCCGCCAAAUUUAAAAAUCAUAUAAACAAAUUAAAAAAACAUGUGUUUUCAUAAUUUAUUUAGAUUAGUUUUUCUUUGUGAAUACAUUAUUACCUAUACUAUAAGUGUUAAACUCAGUUAUUCCAAUAUUUGCACUAUAAUUUUGAGAAUUUACUCCGAUUUUUUAAAAUUUGGCGGGUGGUUUCAGUUUCUACUUUCAUUAGCCAAAUUCUAAUAAUUUUAUUGUUUAUGAAAUUUAUACUAAUUAGAAAGAGGAAGAAUUUGAUUAUUUGUUUGUUUGCAUUGAAUAGGCUGUGAAACUACUUUGCUGAUUUAAAAAUUUCUUACAGCAUUAUAAUCAUGGAUUAGGCCAUAAUUGUUAUCUCUGUAUUCCCACGGGAACGAGAACUACGCUGGUGAAACUGCGUGACGUUUGCAUAGUUUAUCAUAUGUACAAAUAUCCCGACAAUCUAUAUUUUUAUGUAUGAAUUGGUUACGUUAUAAUUGACUUGAUUUUCCAAAAUAUCUCAGUGAAGUCACCCAAUUGAUGCAUAGAUAUAUUUUUAUUUUGGUUUUCAUUUUACUUUAAAGAUAAAAUUUAGUUUUAGAAGCAAAAUGAAUAUAUUUAGAUUACAUUUUAGGUGCUGAUGUUUACUUAGUUAUUGAUUAAGUGCAUAAGAUUUUUUAUUUGAUAAUAAAGACAUUUCAACUUGAAA